UAUUCAUCCAGAGACUCACUACGCGUUCGACCAGAACUUAAUGACCCUGUGGUUAGAAGAGACGUGUACUCGCUCCCUCUAGUGCAGCUGGAAGAACUUCUCUUCAGAUUUACCCCAAAAGACUGUCUUUUCAUAAAAAAAUACAUAAAUAUGGGCUGUGGAGGAAGCAAAACGGCGGCAGAGCCGAAGGCAGACGACAACAGCCGACCGGAAUCCUCGCCGAAACAAGAAGUCGCAGUGAAGCCGGUAGUCAGAGAGGAAAUGGAAAAUGAGACCGAGCCUGCAGACGACGCCGGCGAGAAGGAAGGCCAGACCGGAGAAGGAGGAGGAGAAGGACAGCAAGAAGCGGCAGAGUCUUAGAGAGAAGCCCGAUUUUAGAACUUGCCCACCAGAUCUUCAACUGACUCAACCAUUGACUCUUCCUGUUUCAACCGCGACUCAACAUAACAAAACUGGAUUCAUGAUCAGCUAGAUGCAGUUCAACCUUUCGCCACUGUGUGUCGCCUGUGGACUGUGCAACACCUGGGAGAUGGUGCCACGAUCUUAUCAUCAACCCGAAAUUCAUGACGACAUUUUUACUGUGGGGUACUGUAUCCGAUGAUGACUGCCGUACAGAGUGGGGCCAUAUAACGCUGUCUAUCAAAUAUACGAUGUAAAUACUAGUAGCUCAAAGGCUAGGGAAAUAGAAUGGAAGAAGUCAACUAUCAGUACCAUUGAACACAAUCAUCUUAUCAUCUAUAGAAAAUGCAUUGCAAAUAUGAUAUAAUGGUGUAUAAUAUUUUAAGUUCGAUUCAAGUAAAAAAUGUAUUUUCAUAUUGUAAGGUUGUGUAUGUGAAUAAGGUCUUCUUGGGUUUGGUCUUUAACGUUUGUUUGCUGCUAUCAUUGUCAAUAUAGGCAUGAAAACGUAGAAUGGUUUCGCACAAAUCCAAAUAUAACUGUAUCAAAGAAAGAGAAACACAUGACGAUUAUCUUUCAGAAUCAAGAGAGUGUUUUCUUUCCUUGCAUGGCUGGGGAUCCCGGCAAUUGAAAUCAAAGAAGUGCAACAUCAUAUAUGUAGAUAUGAGGUAGACCUAACCCUUUUUCUGUCGUUGGCUUACGGCUUGGACUCAUAAGGUUACCUUGUAACGUCACCUUGAGAAGAUUACGUGUAAAAGUUCAAACAUUUCUGUAAUAGGGGAAGUAGGGCCGAGGAAAUAUUUUCUUCGCUCUUACCUUCAACCUGUGAAGAAGACUGUGUAUAUACGUAUACCAUCUUGACUGUAAAGUGUAAAGAGCGUAAUCCUACACUCUGUUAAGACUACAUUUGCGGGGGACGCAAGGAUUCAAGGUCAUUUGCGGUUUUUACCAUCGGUGAGCAGCCAACGUCCACAUUCUGUUGUGGUUAUGACAGAUAGAUGUAAAUAGUGUAAUUCUAUUUCUAAACAAUCUGUACUCAGAAACGGUCCAUAUUUGUAAUAAACCAUUGGAUUUUUGUC